rnacentral:lncRNA from 13 species
CUGCUGUGGGAUCCCCAUGGUGUUUGUUUAUCUCUGUCUCCUCUGCAACACACCCUGAUCAAUCUCCACUGAUAUUUGUAGUCAUUUUGACACUUUGAGGUCUGGGGUUUUAACUUUCUUCUUGUUUUACUAAAAAUGAAUUAAAGAAAAUCUUUUUCUUCUCCUUUAUUGCUUCUGUAUUUCCAAGAAGAAAAUGGUAGAAAUGCUGAGUUUACAUUUCAUGUGAAAACUUGAGUCCUACUCAGAAAUGUUGGAUUGUCCAACAUUUCUAACAACACUUAGAAAUCAAGUUAUUUUGUUUGAUUAUCUGAGAUUUUAAUCAGUCUUUUCUUCUUUUUCGAAGAAUGGUAUACUUCCUACUAUACUCAUUAUAACUAGAUUGGCUGGUGAAAUAAAUGGCCUUUAAGAUUGGCCUCAAUGUUUUUGAAAAUUAGGGAAUGGUUUAAUAACAAUAUUUAAACACCGUUAUCCAUUACCAUUUUGGUACUUAAUAACUGUUAGGCAUCAUGGUAUUCUCAUUGCCAACAUACUUUAUUUUUCUUUCUUAAAAGUAUAUUUUAUUGGUACAUAAUAGUUGUACAUAUUUUCAUACUUAAUAUUAAAAUGCUGACCAUACCUUUGCUUGGUGUUUCGUUGUUGAUGAAUUCUAGAUGGAUGAUGUAGUCUCUUUUAUAUCUGCAGGCAGAUGGAGUUAUUGUUAUGGUGUUUAGGACAAGCCAAUUGUGUUAAAGCAUGUGACACACCUAAUUUCAGAAACCAGAGGGGAAAUCACCACUUAUUCAAGUUCAAGGAAGCCAACUCCCACAUAAAAAGAUGGACUAUUCUGAGACGGCCAUGUUGUGGAGAAUCCCAAGCUCAGUACGCUUCUCAGAGAGGGAGGGAUGCCUGACCAACCCCUAAGUAUUCCAGCCUUCUUGGUUGAGACACCAGAUGUGGGGGAAGAAGUUACUCUGCAAGUUCAGCCCAGUUGGGCCUUCAGAUGCCCACAGCUCUAGCCACCAUUUGACUGAAACCUCAUGAGAGACCCCAGGAAGUUCCCAGAAGAACCUGGUCUUCUGACAGAUCUGUAAGAAAUAAUAAUGAAUUAUUGUGUUAAGCCACCAAGUGUGGGGCUGUAGUUCUACAGCAUUUGCAGGUUACUGAAACUGUUCAUUGUAGAGGGCUUGGUUUUAAGUGUGUGUUUAGUACUUUUAUACUUAUUAAUCACUAUUGUUUCUGUUCUCUUGAAUUACUUUGUAUUUUCUGUUUAAAUAGUUGUUUUUUCACUAUCGGGUCUGUGUGCUUUGCUUCCAGGGUAUAGUUCUGAUAUCUUAGAAGUGAUAUAUAUUUUUUAAUGGUUCUCUUGAUAGAAUAUACUUAAUCUCUUCUUUUUAAAUAUAUAAUCUACUGUUUUUCUACUCUAAGUAAUGAAAAAACAGCAUUCCUUUUCCUUUCCCUUUUCUGCUCUACUGCCUGGUGUCAGCUAAUAAAACAAUCUUUUUAAUGCUUCCCUUUGUACUU